rnacentral:rRNA from 1 species
UACGUAGGGUGCGAGCGUUAAUCGGAAUUACGGGGCGUAAAGCGUGCGUAGGCGGUUGGCAAAGUCAGCUGUGAAAGCCCCGGGCUCAACCUGGGAAUGGCGGUUGAAACUAGUCGACUCGAAUCUGGCAGAGGGGGGUGGAAUUCCACGUGUAGCAGUGAAAUGCGUAGAGAUGUGGAGGAACACCGAUGGCGAAGGCAGCCCCCUGGGCUGAGAUUGACGCUCAGGCACGAAAGCGUGGGGAGCAAACAGG